GACUGUCGGGCCUGGGAGGAUGCAGGAAACGGCUUGUGCUGAGCGCAGGUGGAGGAGGCGCCCGAGGAGGCAGCUGACGCCACUCCUGGACUUGGCUUUCCUAGCGGCAUGACCCAGACCGUCAUCUGCAAGAGGUCUGAGCCCCUUGUUUCCACGCUCUUUUCAGACAGUGCCUGCUUAACCUGUCCGUGGCCCAUCGACACUGGGCAAGAGAGAGUACCAAGAGGCACCCAGCCAGACCACUUGGGUGCCAAACAUUCAUCCUUGCUGCCCACCGUGUGACUGCAGCGUGGCCUCCUGAUGACCAGGGUCAGUUACUCUUACCUGCACGACUUCUCUCUCUGCAUGACGGCCCCUCCGUCGCUCAAGUGCCCGGCUGGCAACUGUAGCUAAUAUUUCGGUGGGACUCCUGCUGUGUCCCAUGGUGAGGGCAUGCCCCCUUUUACAAAUUAGAACUAUCAACCUGGAGCAGCCAGAGUUGCAGGGACAAGAAGUUUCCCAGGUGGGUCACUGAAAGAGUUUUAUUUGUAGGGGCCAAACUCAAAAUGAUGCAUGGAGUUAACAAUGGAGAUCACUGGCCCUGCAUUCGUUCGGGGCCUUAAGGAUGCCACUGAUUUCUGCCUUCCCCUUCCCCCAGAGCUGCAGGGCCAAUCUCAAAAGCUUGUUUCAGCCUUCCCGCUACCACAGUUGUGACGCCACAGGCCAAGGAACCUGUGUGGAGGUUGUGCCCACCUCCCUUGACGUCUAAUCUAACUACACAUUGAAGAAUCAGGGAAUUGACCGUUGAUGGGGUCCAUCAACCCCGGGACCCGAUACUUCAUUUAUUAUUGGGCCUCGUCUGCCCCCACUCUGACAGAGGCCCACGGUGACUCUGCAUCUCCUGGUUUCAGCCUUGGCUCAGUCCCCGUGUUCAGCAGUCCUCAAAAGGUUUGAGUAUUCCCUUUCUCCAGCAGACAGUUCCUUGCGUAAAUGGCUGUCGGUUCCUUUGCGGGAGGAGUCAGGGAAUCCUCAUCCUCUCCAUUUGGUGUUGGCAGGGCUUUGCCUUCCGCAGACUCCACAGUCUCAGGCUGAAAACGGCCUCCGUUCCAGACGUUGGCCAAGGAAUGAUGGCUGCUCUUCGGGGCGACUGUCCUCGGCCACCUGAUUAUCUAUCCAUGAAUUCCUUUGAUGGUACAGAUUGAGGACAACCCACCAGGGCUGCCCAUCUGUUUCACCCACCGGUGUUCUGUGAACCAUCUCUAAAGCUCACCAGGUGAACCUUCCUCCCCGACCCCUCGACUCGUUCACAAUAUGCAUAAGCACAGCCCUGUUGUGUCCACAUUGCUUGAAUAUCUGAACACCGAUGCAUCAUACCAGCUUGUUUCUACGUUAUGCCACCCCAGUUCGCUGCUGGUAAGAGUUUUACAACCUGCGCGUUCCCAAACUACCUACUUUGUGCCAGGGGCUUUUUGUGCUCCGGCUGCUAUCAGUGCGGAGGUCUUCGUGGCCAGCCCAGCCGGGUGGCCGAUCCAGCUCCUAACUCCUGUCUUGGUAUCCCCUCCCCCAACCCCUUCCAGUACAAACUGCCCCAAGUGGGACUUUCCAGGAAGCAGCCACCGAGGUGCAGAUUGCUCUGUAGGAGUGCUCUUGGGAUCGCGACCUGGGAGGGGAAGAAGGUAGGGUUGGGGGAAGAGAGACAUUGUCUGAGUUCAGGCAAGGCGGACUGGCUUUGUACUCCCACACUGAGCGGGCACUGGGUGUGGGCCGCCCAGGAGGGAGGGGGCUGUGACCUUGGGCAGGGCAGUCUCUGGCUGAGGCAAUUCCAAAGAGGGUUAAGUCGUUGAGGAUGGUGUUCCGGAAGCUGGGGGAACACAUCCCUUAGUCCUGCUGGGGGGUCUGGGGGGGAGGGGCAUCGCACCUUGCAUUACAUCACGUUCCCAUUGUCACAGGCAAAGAAACUCCUAGUAUUAGCCAGUCUCGAGUGCAUAUUGAGACCUUCCCAUGGUCCCCAAAUGCCUUUCCUAGCUUUUUUUUUAGUCCAGAAACUAAUUAAGAAUCACUCAUUGCAUUUUGUUGUCAUCUCUAAAGUCUUUUUCAAUAAGAGCAGUCCCCCACUUGUCUGUA